AGCUCUAAGGUCAGUUGGGGCUUUAAGCGAAAGUGUAAAUAAAGAACGGGCUUUAAUGAAAAAAGGCGCAAUGGUGCAAAUAUAUGUGUGUAUAUAUAUAUGUGUGUGUAUAUGUUCCAAGACUUAUAACAAUAAGCAUGAAUAAGAAAUAUAUGGACAAAGAAAUUGUAAAAA